UACGUAGGGUGCGAGCGUUAAUCGGAAUUACCGGGCGUAAAGCGUGCGCAGGCGGUUUUGUAAGCCAGAUGUGAAAUCCCCGGGCUUAACCUGGGAAUGGCAUUUGGGACUGCAAGGCUGGAGUGUGGCAGAGGAGACUGGAAUUCCUGGUGUAGCAGUGAAAUGCGUAGAUAUCAGGAGGAAUACCGAUGGCGAAGGCAGGUCUCUGGGCUGACACUGACGCUCAUGCACGAAAGCGUGGGGAGCAAACAGG
rnacentral:rRNA from 1 species